rnacentral:rRNA from 1 species
GCGAACGCUGGCGGCAGGCUUAACACAUGCAAGUCGAGCGGGCAUCUUCGGAUGUCAGCGGCAGACGGGUGAGUAACACGUGGGAACGUACCCUUCGGUUCGGAACAACUCUGGGAAACUGGAGCUAAUACCGGAUACGCCCUUAUGGGGAAAGGUUUACUGCCGAAGGAUCGGCCCGCGUCUGAUUAGCUAGUUGGUGGGGUAACGGCCUACCAAGGCGACGAUCAGUAGCUGGUCUGAGAGGAUGAUCAGCCACACUGGGACUGAGACACGGCCCAGAAUCCUACGGGAGGCAGCAGUGGGGAAUAUUGGACAAUGGGCGCAAGCCUGAUCCAGCCAUGCCGCGUGAGUGAUGAAGGCCUUAGGGUUGUAAAGCUCUUUUGUCCGGGACGAUAAUGACGGUACCGGAAGAAUAAGCCCCGGCUAACUUCGUG